CCCUUAGAUGUUCUGGGCUGCACGCGCGCUACACUGAUGCGCUCAACGAGUUUAUAACCUUGUCCGGCAGGAUUGGGUAAUCUUUUUAAAACGCAUCGUGAUGGGGAUAGAUUAUUGCAAUUAUUAAUCUUCAACGAGGAAUUCCUAGUAAGCGCGAGUCAUCAGCUCGUGCUGAUUACGUCCCUGCCCUUUGUACACACCGCCCGUCGCUCCUACCGAUUGAAUGCUCAGGUGAGCCAUUCGGACUUUCAUCAUGCUGGUUUCCAGUUUUGAUGAAGGAAAGUCUUGCGAACCUUAUCAUUUAGAGGAAGGAGAAGUCGUAACA
rnacentral:rRNA from 1 species